rnacentral:pre_miRNA from 1 species
GUCAUUUUCGUCUCUAAUUCGCUUGGUGCAGGUCGGGAAUGCGCCGCCUCUAUGGUUUUUUUUUUUUUUUUUUUUGUUUUGGCGAGAUUCGAUUAGUUAAUAGGCGAAUGGAUUCCCGCCUUGCAUCAACUGAAUCGGAGAUGACAGUGAAG